GUCUCAAAAGCUCAGUGGUAAGAGUGGUGGCAUGGUACACCAGAGGCCCAGGGUUCGAGUUCUGGUUAAGACU
rnacentral:tRNA from 1 species